rnacentral:sRNA from 1 species
CUGUCCCCGCCGUGCGCCCUUCGCCGCUGAGCUCGCAGCCUCCGGCGCCCACCUCCACCUCCAGUGUCCCGCCUCGGGCCGUCGCCCUCCAGCGGCUCGCGAGCGUGGGAGACGUACCUGGGCAGGCACUGUCCAGCCCAGGCCCAGGCACAGCCGUGAGGGGCGAGGCACGGGGACAUCCUGGCGGCCACCAUGGUGGCCACGUUUCUGCAGGUGGUGGGCUUCGUCACGAGCUUCGUGGGCUGGAUCGGCGUCAUCGUGACCACCUCCACCAAUGACUGGGUGGUGACCUGCGGCUACACCAUCCCCACCUGCCGCAAGCUGGAUGAGCUGGGCUCCAAGGGGCUGUGGGCCGACUGCGUCAUGGCCACGGGGCUGUACCACUGCAAGCCCCUGGUGGACAUCCUCAUCCUGCCGGGCUACGUGCAGGCCUGCCGCGCCCUGAUGAUUGCUGCCUCGGUCCUGGGUCUGCCGGCCAUUUUACUGCUGCUGACUGUUCUUCCCUGCAUCCGGAUGGGCCAGGAGCCCGGUGUGGCUAAGUACAGGCGGGCCCAGCUGGCUGGUGUUUUGCUCAUUCUGCUGGGUAAGACAGCUUUCUCAGUGGUACCCUACCUAUGAGGGAGCCUGAUGAAUCUCAGAUCUUGUGGUUGCUGCCUUCUCAAGUUCAAGAGAAAUGUGAAAGGAAGCCAAGUGAAGCCAGUGGGGGAUGGACCCCCACAAUCUGUAUCCCUUGUAUUUUAUGGGCAGUUUACACAGAGGGCUAAGUAAUGUCUCUGGGAGUCACUGACCAUGAAGAUAAGUUUAAAAAGAGAAAGAGGAUUUUGAAGAUAGGAAAUACCUAAGGGAAAGACCUGAAAGAUGGAAGCCUUCUCAGUCUUCACAGUGGAAUCCUUUUUGAACACCUGUGCCCAGGUCCCACAGCAGAUCAAUUGAAUCAGAAUUUUCUGGGCAUCAGGCCAGGCAAAGAUAUUUUUUGAAAGCUUUCCAGGUGAUGCUU